AUUGAACGCUGGCGGCAGGCCUAACACAUGCAAGUCGAACGAGUGGCGGACGGGAGAGUAAUGUCUGGGAAACUGCCGGAUGGAGGGGUAUAACCACGGAAAACGGUAGCUAAUACCGCAUACCCUAGGAUGUGCCCAUAUGGGAUUCGCUAGUAGGUGGGGUAAAGGCUCACCUAGGCGACGAUCUCUAGCUGGUCUGAGAGGAUGACCAGCCACACUGGAACUGAGACACGGUCCAGACUCCUACGGGAGGCAGCAGUGGGGAAUAUUGCACAAUGGGCGCAAGCCUGAUGCAGCCAUGCCGCGUGUAUGAAGAAGGCCUUCGGGUUGUAAAGUACUUUCAGCGGGGAGGCGUUACCCGCAGAAGAAGCACCGGCUAACUCCGUGCCAGCAGCCGCGGUAAUUC
rnacentral:rRNA from 1 species